rnacentral:pre_miRNA from 1 species
CUGUUGCUCCUCCGUCCAACAAAAGAUGUCUCAAGUUUGUCAAAAUUUGGAUGUAUCUAAACAUGACUUAGUGUAUAGAUGCAUUUAAGUUUAGUCAAAUUAAGACAUCCUUUGUUGACGGAGAAAGUAUAUU